GCAUAUCAAUAAGCGGAGGAAAAGAAACCAACAGGGAUUGCCCUAGUAACGGCGAGUGAAGCGGCAAGAGCUCAAAUUUGAAAGCUGGCCCCCUCGGGGCCCGCAUUGUAAUUUGCAGAGGAUGCUUCGGGCGUGGCCCCUGUCUAAGUGCCCUGGAACGGGCCGUCAGAGAGGGUGAGAAUCCCGUAUGGGAUGGGGUGCCCACGCCCGUGUGAAGCUCCUUCGACGAGUCGAGUUGUUUGGGAAUGCAGCUCUAAAUGGGUGGUAAAUUUCAUCUAAAGCUAAAUAUUGGCCGGAGACCGAUAGCGCACAAGUAGAGUGAUCGAAAGAUGAAAAGCACUUUGAAAAGAGAGUUAAAAAGCACGUGAAAUUGUUGAAAGGGAAGCGCUUGCGACCAGACUCGCCCCAGGGGUUCAACCGGCUUUCGGGCCGGUGUACUUCCCCCGGGGCGGGCCAGCGUCGGUUUUGGCGGCCGGUCAAAGGCCCCUGGAAUGUAACGCCUCUCGGGGCGUCUUAUAGCCAGGGGUGCCAUGCGGCCCGCCGGGACCGAGGAACGCGCUUCGGCUCGGACGCUGGCAUAAUGGUCGUAAGCGACCCGUCUUGAAACACGGACC
rnacentral:rRNA from 1 species